GACGAACGCUGGCGGCGUGCUUAACACAUGCAAGUCGAGCGGUAAGGCCCUUUCGGGGGUACACGAGCGGCGAACGGGUGAGUAACACGUGGGUGACCUGCCCUUAGCUCUGGGAUAAGCCUGGGAAACUGGGUCUAAUACCGGAUAUGACUCCAUGACGCAUGUUGUGGGGUGGAAAGCCUUGUGCGGCUAGGGAUGGGCCCGCGGCCUAUCAGCUUGUUGGUGGGGUGAUGGCCUACCAAGGCGACGACGGGUAGCCGGCCUGAGAGGGCGACCGGCCACACUGGGACUGAGACACGGCCCAGACUCCUACGGGAGGCAGCAGUGGGGAAUAUUGCACAAUGGGCGGAAGCCUGAUGCAGCGACGCCGCGUGAGGGAUGACGGCCU
rnacentral:rRNA from 1 species